rnacentral:rRNA from 1 species
GUGGGGAAUCUUAGACAAUGGGGGCAACCCUGAUCUAGCCAUGCCGCGUGAGUGAUGAAGGCCUUAGGGUCGUAAAGCUCUUUCGCUGGGGAAGAUAAUGACGGUACCCAGUAAAGAAACCCCGGCUAACUCCGUGCCAGCAGCCGCGGUAAUACGGAGGGGGUUAGCGUUGCUCGGAAUUACUGGGCGUAAAGCGCGCGUAGGCGGAUUGGAAAGUUGGGGGUGAAAUCCCGGGGCUCAACCCUGGAAUGGCCUUCAAAACACCCAGUCCUGAGGUCGAGAGAGGUGAGUGGAAUUCCAAGUGUAGAGGUGAAAUUCGUAGAUAUUCGGAGGAACACCAGUGGCGAAGGCGGCUCACUGUCUCGAUACUGACGCUGAGGUGCGAAAGCGUGGCGAGCAAACAGGAUUAGAUACCCUGUAGUCC